UGGAAGUGAACCAUCUCAGUACCCCCAGGAAGAGAAAACAAGAGUGAUUCCGUCAGUAGCGGCGAGCGAACGCGGAAGAGCCCAAACCGGUGGGGCGUGAUAGCCCGCAAGCGUUGCUUCACCGGGGUUGCGGGACGUUGUUGGGGUCGGUUGCGGCCGGCCCGGGGAGUGAGAAAUCACCAGCCUAGCAGAAGGUCUCUGGAAAGAGCCGCCACAGAGGGUGAAAGCCCCGUAGGCCAAAGGUUCGGUGACUCCCUGACGAUGUUCCCGAGUACCACGGGGCACGUGGAACCCCGUGGGAAACCGGGUCGACCAUGACCCAAGGCUAAAUACUCCUCUGCGACCGAUAGUGAACCAGUACCGUGAGGGAAAGGUGAAAAGCACCCCUGUUAGGGGAGUGAAAGAGUACCUGAAACCGUAUAUCUACAAGCAGUGGAAGCGCUAUGGCCCAUCUUCGGAUGGUGCAAGGCGCGACCGCGUGCCUUUUGCAUAAUGAGCCGGCUAGU
rnacentral:rRNA from 1 species